AAACUCUCUUAAAAAUGUUUACAUUAACAUUUCUUUCCUUUAUUUUACCUUAUUACAGAUGAUUUAGUCAAGCGCAAUAAGAAAUUGAAAGAAGAAUAUGAUGCACUCAAGGCUAAAUAUGAUAAUUUAGUCAAGCGUGAUGGCAAUAAGAAAUGGAAAGAAGAAUAUGAUGCACUCAGGGCUGAAUUUGGUAAG